GUGGGGUCCACCCAAACCCUAAAGCCAGGUCACAAACUCUACAAAUGGGCUUUUGUGCAUUCUACCAAAUUAGUUGGCCCAAAGUUACAAAAAUUCAUUAACAAAAUCUAAAUUACUAAGCUAAACUAGAUUAAUUCUAAUUUGCCUUCUGGAAAUUCUUCAAUUGCUUGUGCCCUUCCAAAAGUCUCCCAGUGUAUUUCCAAAAUUGCCCUGAAAAUAGAAAUAGGAAUAAUUAAGCUCAAAUAAUUCAAAUUAAUUAAAAUAUGAAUUAUUGGUCUAAUUAAGCCCAAAUGGUGAAAAUGACACAAUAACUAA
rnacentral:lncRNA from 1 species